rnacentral:rRNA from 1 species
UACGGGGGGGGGCAAGCGUUGUUCGGAAUUACUGGGCGUAAAGCGCGCGUAGGCGGCUCUUCAAGUCGAGUGUGAAAGCUCCAGGCUUAACCUGGGAAUUGCGCUCGAUACGAGCAAACUAGAGUGUUGCAGGGGGAGACUGGAAUUCCUGGUGUAGCGGUGAAAUGCGCAGAUAUCAGGAGGAACACCGGUGGCGAAGGCGGGGUCUCUGGGGCCGAUACUGAC